rnacentral:lncRNA from 1 species
UGAUUUUGGGUGAUUUGGAGUUGUUAUGACUUUGUAAGAGCUUUGCAAAGUCAAGGUUUGUUUCAGAUGACUUGGGUUUUAUGAAAUAAAAUAGGGUUUACGUUUUGGAUGAUUUCAAGAGAUUUGUAGUAGAUCUAUAAGUGAAAUUUUGUGAAUUUAUGGUUAUAGUUGUGUUUAAUAUGUGUUGUAAAUUUGAGCUCGAUCUAACGGUUGAAUUGAGGGAUAUUGAGGUUUAAGUGGGUCAUGAUCUCAGAAAGUAGAAUUUUAGGUCCAAAGAGGGUUUUUAAGAUUUCUUGCAAUCUACUAGUUGGAUUGGAGUGAAAAUUGUGUGAGAGGAUAUUAGACUUGUUUUUCUAUGUGCAUGAGAAUUUUGAGAUCAAUCGAACGGUGCAAAGGAGAGAUAUCAGCUCUGGAAGAUUGGCAUCAAUGUUGGAGAAGGAGGCCAACCAAUACCCGAGCACGUUUUUGAGGUUAUUUCCUAUUUGGUAAUUUCGAUCCUUUUCAAAAAUUUUGUAAUUGUUUUCAACUUAGUUUUUAAGAAGUUUGCAAAAUUUGAGUUAAGAUCAACGGUUUAUUCAUUAGUUAUUGAGGUUUAAAUCUGUUAUAGGAAUUACUAGGAUUUGAUUAGGAAUUGGUUUAUGGUUAGGGUUUGGUUUAGGGUUUAGGGUAGGAUUUAAGGUUUGAUUUAGGAUUUGGUUUAGAGUUUAGGAUAGGAUUUCAGGUUUGAUUUAGGAUUUGGUUAGGGUUUGAUUUAGGGUUUAGGAUUUGGAUGAGGAUUUGGUUAAGAUUCAAUUAGAGUUUGAUUUAGGAUUUAGGGUUUGGUUUCGGGUUCGGUUAGGGUUUGGUUUACAAUUUAGGGUUUAGUUUAUAGUUUAGGGUUUGAUUAGGAUUUUAUUAGGAUUUAAGAUUUAAUUAGAUUUGGUCUAAAGUUUGAAUGAAGUUCAAUAGGAUUUUAACUAGAAUUAAAUUAAGAUUGAAUUGAGAUGUAUUUGAGUGAUAUUUGUGAUCAUUCUAAUAUUUCUUUAAGA